GCCCGCUUGGCUCAGUGGUAGAGCGCAUCACUAGUAAAUCUUAAUCAUCCUUAACUCUGAGUUUCAGAGGUUACUGGGUUUAUGAUGAGGUCAUCAGUUCGAUUCUGAUAGUGGGCA